AUUCCCCCCAUGUCUGCCUCUUCUGCCAGGGGUCUUUUCAAACAUAGACAAUCAUGGGAUAUUAAACUUGAAGGACAAUAGAGAUCAUCUAGUCUCAUCAACUCACUAUAUAUAUGAGGAACCUGAGGUCCAGAGUGGGGAAGUGUCUUACCCAAGGUCACAUGGUUUCAGAGAAAUUAUGUUGAAUCCAAUAAGCCUUCCCGGACAUUCCAAGCCUCUUAACCAUGGCAUCUAUGUUGAGGAUGUCAGUGUUUAUUUCAGCAAAGGACGUCAUGGCUUUUAAAAACUCCUUUUAAGCCUCCCUGUUUUGAUGUCACCUGGGUAGGCUGGGCCCUCUGAGAGGUGGGAAGCUCUAGGCGCUGUUCUCUUUGGAUCCAGGGAUGCUAAGUAGAAACUGCAUGAGCCGCCGGCGCCCCUGCACCUUUCACGCCACCAAGACGGGUGUCGUCCCUCAUCCACCACUGGCAGGGCUGCCCUUUCCCUCAGUCAUCACUGUGCUCCUUCUCCCCCCUCCACCCCGGCCUCCGAGGCAGCUCCUGCCACCAUCUUUAGAGCCAAUAAAGAGAAUUAAAAACCUGUG